rnacentral:rRNA from 1 species
GACGUAGGGUGCGAGCGUUGUCCGGAUUUAUUGGGCGUAAAGAGCUCGUAGGCGGUGUGUCGCGUCGGCCGUGAAAACCUGCAGCUUAACUGUGGGCUUGCGGUCGAUACGGGCAUCACUGGAGUUCGGCAGGGGAGACUGGAAUUCCUGGUGUAGCGGUGAAAUGCGCAGAUAUCAGGAGGAACACCGGUGGCGAAGGCGGUUCUCUGGGCCUUACCUGACGCUGAGGAGCGAAAGCGUGGGGAGCGAACAGG